GACGAACGCUGGCGGCGUGCUUAACACAUGCAAGUCGAACGGCAGCGCGGACUUCGGUCUGGCGGCGAGUGGCGAACGGGUGAGUAAUGUAUCGGAACGUGCCCUGUAGCGGGGGAUAACUACUCGAAAGAGUAGCUAAUACCGCAUACGCCCUACGGGGGAAAGGGGGGGAUCGCAAGACCUCUCACUAUUGGAGCGGCCGAUAUCGGAUUAGCUAGUUGGGAAGGUAAAGGCUCACCAAGGCGACGAUCCGUAGCUGGUUUGAGAGGACGGCUAGCCCCACUGGGACCGAGGCACGGGCCAGACGCCUACGGGAGGCAGCAAUGGGGAAUUUUGGACAAUGGGGGAAACCCUGAUCCAGCCAUUCCGCGUGUGCGAUGAAGGCCUUCGGGUUGUAAAGCACUUUUGGCAGGAAAGAAAUCGCAUCAAUUAAUACUUGGUGUGGAUGACGGUACCUGCAGAAUAAGCACCGGCUAACUACGUGCCAGCAGCCGCCGCCG
rnacentral:rRNA from 1 species